GGAAGCAUCGAUUCUUUCGAACAGUUCGAGCAGCUAUUCAUGGAAUAUUUUGGUACAAAUUGAAGAGUGUCCAAAACUAUUGACAGCCUUUUCUCUAUUAACCAGUAGGAUGGAGAAUCUUUGCGAAAGUUUGUGGUGUGUUUCAACACAGCCACCUUGGAGGUCAAGGACCUCGAUCAGGCGACGGCCAUCACGAUGAUGAAGCGGA
rnacentral:lncRNA from 1 species